UGCCUGGAUUGUCUCGAGUCUUGUCUGUCCUUAUCAGAGUUGGCGGUUUUAGAUUAACUGAUUCUAUCACAGCCAGCUUUGAUGAGCACAGUUGAGAUUCAUAACAUCACACCCUGG
rnacentral:pre_miRNA from 15 species